UGCUGUUUAACAUAUGUUACGGAGUAACUGUCCGUCCGCUCCGCCCAGACUGAUGUUUGUAAGGCACUAAAAAUACAGCAAUGAACAAAGCAAACUGUUUUGGUGGAAACUACAAUCUAAUGAAGGAGUCAGAUGUUAAAGAAACGGCAUACAUUCAGAUAACAGUUGAUGCAGUGAAGGAAAUAGACACUGGCAGUGUGGAUGGGCCUCUUCCAAUCGAUUGAAAGCAAAGACUAAAGUUUCUGAAAGAAAAGAGAACUUUGCCUGUAGAGUGCGGCAUCACUAUACAGUCAGAGUUAGCAGGCUUUGGAUUUAAGACUGCAACAUCAACCUUCAUGUGAAUCUGGAGCCUGCUCUCUUGCCCUGUGGAUUUCAGACAUUUCAGUCUAUAUGGAUCAGAAAUAGUUUCCCUACUAUCCAGGACA